UACGGAGGAUGCGAGCGUUAUCCGGAUUUAUUGGGUUUAAAGGGAGCGUAGGCGGCCUGUUAAGUCAGCGGUUAAAUGUCAGUGCCCAACAUUGGCACGCCGUUGAUACUGGUGGGCUUGAAUACACACAAGGAUGGUGGAAUUCGUUGUGUAGCGGUGAAAUGCUUAGAUAUGACGAAGAACUCCGAUUGCGAAGGCAGCCAUCUGGGGUGCGAUUGACGCUGAGGCUCGAAAGUGCGGGAAUCAAACAGG
rnacentral:rRNA from 1 species